rnacentral:rRNA from 1 species
CCUACGGGUGGCAGCAGUGGGGAAUAUCGGACAAUGGGGGGAACCCUGAUCCAGCCAUGCCGCGUGUGUGAAGAAGGCCCUCGGGUUGUAAAGCACUUUCAGUGAGGAAGAACGCCUGGUGGUUAAUACCCAUCAGGAAAGACAUCACUCACAGAAGAAGCACCGGCUAACUCCGUGCCAGCAGCCGCGGUAAUACGGAGGGUGCGAGCGUUAAUCGGAAUUACUGGGCGUAAAGCGCGCGUAGGUGGCUUGAUAAGCCGGUUGUGAAAGCCCCGGGCUCAACCUGGGAACGGCAUCCGGAACUGUCAAGCUAGAGUGCAGGAGAGGAAGGUAGAAUUCCCGGUGUAGCGGUGAAAUGCGUAGAGAUCGGGAGGAAUACCAGUGGCGAAGGCGGCCUUCUGGACUGACACUGACACUGAGGUGCGAAAGCGUGGGUAGCAAACAGGAUUAGAUACCCCUGUAGUC